CCUGCGGGUUGUAAAGCACUUUUAGUGGGGAUGAAAAGUUCAGGGCUAACACCUCUGGAUCUCGACCUAACCCACAGAAAAAGCACCGGCUAACCCUGUGC
rnacentral:rRNA from 1 species